rnacentral:rRNA from 1 species
CGUAGCUGGGUUGUUAAGGCUCUUGGGAAAUCUGGCGGCUUAACCGUCAGGCGUCUAAGGGAUACUGGCAAUCUUGGAACCGGGAGAGGUGAGGGGUACUUCGGGGGUAGGAGUGAAAUCCUGUAAUCCUCGAGGGACCACCUGUGGCGAAGGCGCCUCACCAGAACGGCUUCGACAGUGAGGGACGAAAGCUGGGGGAGCAAACCGGAUUAGAUACCCGGGUAGUCCCAGCCGUAAACUAUGCGCGUUAGGUGUAUCGGUGACCACGAGUUACCGAGGUGCCGAAGGGAAAUCGUGAAACGUGCCGCCUGGGAAGUACGGUCGCAAGGCUGAAACUUAAAGGAAUUGGCGGGGGAGCACCACAACAGGUGGAGCCUGCGGUUUAAUUGGACUCAACGCCGGGAAGCUCACCGGAUAGGACAGCAGAAUGAUUGCCGGGCUGAAGACCCUGCAUGACUAGCUGAGAGGAGGUGCAUGGCCGUCGUCAGUUCGUACUGUGAAGCAUCCUGUUAAGUCAGGCAACGAGCAAGACCCACGCCAACAGUUGCCAGCAUGGUCUCCGGACUGAUGGGGACACUGUUGGGACCGCCUCUGCUAAAGAGGAGGAAGGAAUGGGCAACGGUAGGUCAGCAUGCCCCGAAUUAUCCGGGCUACACGCGGGCUACAAUGGGCAGGACAAUGGGCAUCGACACCGUGAGGUGGAGGCAAUCUCCUAAACCUGUCCUUAGUUCGGAUUGUGGGCUGAAACUCGCCCACAUGAAGCUGGAAUCUGUAGUAAUCGCGUUUCAAAAUAACGCGGUGAAUUUGUCCCUGCUCCUUGCACACACCGCCCGUAA